GAUGAACGCUGGCGGCGUGCCUAAUACAUGCAAGUCGAGCGAACAGACGAGGAGCUUGCUCCUCUGACGUUAGCGGCGGACGGGUGAGUAACACGUGGAUAACCUACCUAUAAGACUGGGAUAACUUCGGGAAACCGGAGCUAAUACCGUAUAAUAUAUUGAACCGCAUGGUUCAAUAGUGAAAGACGGUUUUGCUGUCACUUAUAGAUGGAUCCGCGCCGCAUUAGCUAGUUGGUAAGGUAACGGCUUACCAAGGCAACGAUGCGUAGCCGACCUGAGAGGGUGAUCGGCCACACUGGAACUGAGACACGGUCCAGACUCCUACGGGAGGCAGCAGUAGGGAAUCUUCCGCAAUGGGCGAAAGCCCGACGGAGCAACGCCGCGUGAGUGAUGAAGGUCUUCGGAUCGUAAAACUCUGUUAUUAGGGAAGAACAAAUGUGUAAGUAACUAUGCACGUCUUGACGGUACAUAAUCAGAAAGCCACGGCUAACUACGUG
rnacentral:rRNA from 1 species